ACGAACGCUGGCGGCGUGCCUAACACAUGCAAGUCGAACGAGAAUUUAAGAGAAGAUUUCUUCGGAAUGAAUUUUUUAAAGGAAAGUGGCGGACGGGCGAGUAACGCGUGAAUAACCUGCCCAUAAGAGGGGGAUAAUCCAUGGAAACGUGGACUAAUACCGCAUAUUGAAUAUUAAUUGCAUGAUUGAUAUUUGAAAGAUUUAUCGCUUAUGGAUGGAUUCGCGUCUGAUUAGAUAGUUGGUGAGGUAACGGCUCACCAAGUCGACGAUCAGUAGCCGAACUGAGAGGUUGAUCGGCCGCAUUGGGACUGAGACACGGCCCAGACUCCUACGGGAGGCAGCAGUGGGGAAUAUUGCGCAAUGGGGGAAACCCUGACGCAGCAACGCCGCGUGCAGGAAGAAGGUCUUCGGAUUGUAAACUGUUGUCGCAAGGGAAGAAGACAGUGACGGUACCUUGUGAGAAAGUCACGGCUAACUACGUGCCAGCAGCCGCGGUAAUACGUAGGUGACAAGCGUUGUCCGGAUUUACUGGGUGUAAAGGGCGCGUAGGCGGGAUAGCAAGUCAGUCGUGAAAUACCGAGGCUCAACCUCGGGGCUGCGAUUGAAACUGUUAUUCUUGAGUAUCGGAGAGGAAAGCGGAAUUCCUAGUGUAGCGGUGAAAUGCGUAGAUAUUAGGAGGAACACCAGUGGCGAAGGCGGCUUUCUGGACGACAACUGACGCUGAGGCGCGAAAGUGUGGGGAGCAAACAGGAUUAGAUACCCUGGUAGUCCACACCGUAAACGAUGGAUACUAGGUGUAGGAGGUAUCGACCCCUCCUGUGCCGGAGUUAACGCAAUAAGUAUCCCGCCUGGGAAGUACGAUCGCAAGAUUAAAACUCAAAGGAAUUGACGGGGGCCCGCACAAGCGGUGGAGUAUGUGGUUUAAUUCGACGCAACGCGAAGAACCUUACCAGGUCUUGACAUUGAUCGCGAUCUGCAGAAAUGCGGAGUUCUUCUUCGGAAGACGAGAAAACAGGUGGUGCACGGCUGUCGUCAGCUCGUGUCGUGAGAUGUUGGGUUAAGUCCCGCAACGAGCGCAACCCCUAUUGUCAGUUGCCAUCAUUAAGUUGGGCACUCUGACGAGACUGCCGGUGACAAAUCGGAGGAAGGUGGGGACGACGUCAAAUCAUCAUGCCCCUUAUGACCAGGGCUACACACGUACUACAAUGGCCGAUAACAAAGUGCAGCGAAACCGUGAGGUAGAGCGAAUCACAAAACUCGGUCUCAGUUCAGAUUGCAGGCUGCAACUCGCCUGCAUGAAGUUGGAAUUGCUAGUAAUCGCGAAUCAGAAUGUCGCGGUGAAUACGUUCCCGGGCCUUGUACACACCGCCCGUCACACCAUGAGAGUCGAUAACACCCGAAGCCUGUGAGCUAACCGUAAGGGGGCAGCAGUCGAAGGUGGGGUUGAUGAUUGGGGUG
rnacentral:rRNA from 1 species